UUUUUGAAGAUGCGAUUAUAUCAAGUCAGAUAUAUUGAAAAGUUAGUGGCGAACGAGGUAGUAAUACAUAGGAACUUCCCCCAAAGUCGUGAAUAAUUCAUCGAAAGGUGAACUAAUACACGAUAGUCUCGMARRAGUAAAGUUUUAACGCUUUGGRAAAGGCCUGUGCGAWAUCAGCUAGUUGGWAGKGUAAKGGGCUACCARGGCUAURACGUCUAGGGGAGGUGAGAGCCUGACCCCCACCGAUGGUACUGAGACACGGACCAUACACCUACGGGUGGCUGCAGUCRAGAAUCUUCCACAAUGGACGAAAGUCUGAUGGAGCGACSCCGCGUGAUUGAUGAAGUCCCUCUGGGACGUAAAGAUCUUUUAUGAGGGAAGAAGUUUAUUGACUGUACCUCAUGAAUAAGAGGCUCCUAAUCUCGUGCCAGCAGGAGCGGUAAUACGAGAGCCUCGAGCGUUAUCCGGAAUUAUUGGGCGUAAAGGGUGCGUAGGUUGUUGUAUUAGUCUUUUGUCAAAGACCCGAGCUUAACUUGGGGAUCGCGAAAGAAACGGUACUAACUUGAAAGUGCGAGAGGCGUACGGAACUCAUGGUGUAGGGGUGAAAUCCGUUGAUAUCAUGGGGAACACCAAAUGCGAAGGCAGUACGCUGGCGCAUAUUUGACGCUSAAGCACGAAAGCGUGGGUAGCGAAUGGGAUUAGAUACCCCAGUAGUCCA
rnacentral:rRNA from 1 species